CGUUUCUACGGGUACCUCGGUAUAACGUUGUAGUACUGGUUUGUGUGUCAGAGUGUGACCCCACACACUUGACAUCCAUCUCAGAAGCUUUUUUGGUUCCCGUUUCGAAAACGAGCGCGCGCAGAUAAAUCUGGAAACCAGUUACUGACCUAUUUACCGAGUAGAUUGGUUACCUCCCCUUAUCUAUCGUUACUCCCUAUAUAGAGAGGACCUCGGUGAAUCGGUCAGCAACUGGUUUAGUGAUGUAUGUUCCAGCUGGUAACAGUGAAUUUAUGAAGAAAAUAAGAAAAUAAGGACUUUGGUCGCCCAGGAAGAAAGUGGUUUUAAAGAUGUUGACGGGCAUUAUUCUAGAAAUGAGCCAUCAUUCCAGUAUGCUGAAAACAUCCCCUCAAGCUCUCCUGGUCCUAAAAAUGAGCACCAAAGGCCAAAGUGUCAGAGAUAAUGAUUGAACUGAUUCUAAAAAUGAGCCAUCCAGUAUUGGUGAAAUCGUCUCCUUCAAGCAUUCCUGGUUUCAAAAUCAGCAUCAAGGCCAAAGAGUCAGAGAUAAUGAUGAUGAUGAUGAUGACGAAGAAGCUGGCUUUGAACCUUCGAGUUCUGACGGUGCGGAAAUGGACUUGGCUACAGGCACAUCUUGUUUCAAGAACAGACAAGAAAGGGCAAGCUUAAAGGAUGACGAUGGGAGUGUUUCUAGAAAUGAGCCAUCCAGUUGUGCUGAAAACAACUCCUCUUCAAGCUCUCCUGGUUCCAAAAUGAGCACCAAUAGCCAAAGUACAGAGAUAAAGAAUGAACUGAUUCUAAAAAUGAGCCAUCCAGUAUUGGUGAAAACGUCUCCUUCAAGCAUUCCUGGUUCCAAAAUCAGCAUCAAAGGCCAAAGCGUCAGAGAUAAUGAUGAUGAUGACGAAGAAGCUGGCAUUGAACCUUCCAGUUCUAACUGCAGAAAUGGACUCAGCUACAAGCACAUCUUGUUUCAAAAUCAGACAAGAAAGGGCAAGCUUAAGGAUUAGGCUGGUAAUGAAGGUGAUGGUGACGAAGAAGCUUGCUCUGAACCUUUAAGUUCUAACGCACUGUUAAAAAAAAGGACACAUCUUCACGCACAUCUGGUGUCAAGUACAGAGAAGAAAGGGCAUGUAAGGGGUAAUGAAGGUGGUGGUGACGAAGAAGCUUACUCUGAACCUGUAAGUUCCAACGCACUGUUAGAAAAGGACACAUCUUCAUGCACAUCUGGUGUCAAGUACAGAGAAGAAAGGGCGAGCGUAAGGGGUAAUGAAGGUGGUGGUGACGAAGAAGCUUGCUCUGAACCUUUAAGUUCCAAUGCACUGUUAGAAAAGGACACAUCUUCACGCACAUCUGGUUACAAGUACAGAGAAGAAAGGGCGAGCGUAAGGGGUAAUGAAGGUGGUGGUGACGAAGAAGCUUGCUCUGAACCUUUAAGUUCCAAUGCACUGUUAGAAAAGGACAAAUCUUCACGCACAUCUGGUUACAAGUACAGAGAAGAAAGGGCGAGCGUAAGGGGUAAGGCUGGUAUUGUAUUAAAUGAUCAGCUCUCAUUGGAUUGUUGUGGAGAUUUGUCACCACUACCAACUUACAUAAAGAGUGCAUUUGGGUGGAUACCUCUUUAUUAAUGUACUGUGUUUCUAGUGCGUGUGUGUGUGCCUCGUACCUCACAAUGUCUGUUCAGUAAAUUGUAUGUUACACUUUUCGACUGCACGUUUUGACAACAAUAACUAAAAAAGAGGCCCAUGAGGGCCUGAAUCGCUCUACUGCUUUAAACACUGUCACUGUGACCUUGACCUUUGACCUAGCAACCUGAAAAUCAAUAGGGGUCAUCAGCAAGUCAUAAUCAAUGUACCUAUGAAGUUUCAUGAUCCUAGGCCUAAGCAUUCUUGAGUUAACAUCUGGAAACCAUUUUACUAUUUCGAGUCACUGUGACCUUGACCUUUGACCCAGUUACCUGAAAAUCAAUAGGGUUCGAGUCCUCAUUAAUAUAAAGACACUGAGCAAGUUUGAAAAGAAUGGGAUGAAAACUGUGGACGUUAUCGGAUAAACAAGAUUUUACUAUUUCAAGUCACUGUGACCUUGACCUUUGACCCAGUGACUUGAAAAUCAAUAGGGUUUGAGUCCUCAUUAAUAUAAAGACACUGAGCAAGUUUAAAAAGAAUCGGAUGAAAACUGUGGACUUUAUCGAAUGAACAAGUUUUUACUGUUUCGAGUCACUGUUACCUUGACCUUUGACCCAGUGACCUGAAAAUCAAUAGGGUUCGAGUCCUUAUUAAUAUAAAGACACUGAGUAAGUUUCAAAAGAAUCCGAUAAAAACUGUGGACCUUUUUGGAUAAACAAGUUUUUACUAUUUCGAGUCACUGUGACCUUGACCUUUUACCCAGUGACCUGAAAAUCAAUAAGGUUUGAGUCCUCAUUAAUAUAAAGACACUGAGUAAGUUUGAAAAUAAUCGCAUGAAAACUGGACUUUAUCGGAUAAACAAGACAACGUCUAACACACAGACACCAUGCCAUCCCAUAAGCUCUUCUGCCUUUGGCAGUAGAGCUAAAAAAUCAAAAUGCUUCUACCUACAACUUUGAAACUUCAUAUGUAGCUGCACAUUGAUGAGUUCCACACUCCACGCCCAUUUUUUGGUCACUAGAUCAAAUGUCAAGGUCACUGUGACCUCAAUUAUUUUUUUAACUGCACCCGCAGCCGAGCAUUGGCGUCCGGUAUGCGGUGCUCUUGUCUCAGGACCUUUAGUUAGACCCAAAGGUGAAGGUAAGGGUUGGCGAUCUUAAUUUCCUAUGAUAUAACUUGGUCAUUGUUUCAACAUAAUGGCCAAUUUGGGAAGCAUCCAUUAGCACUACUGAUAUCCUUGUUGUCCCCUACAAGUGAAACCGGAGGGGGCUUAUGGUUUACGCUCCGUGUGUCAGUCUGUCUGUCCGUCACACUUUACUGGAUCCUGCGAUAACUUUAAAAGUUCUUCAUAUUUUUUCAUGAAACUUGAAACAUGGAUAGAAUGCAAUAUGGAGAGUAUGCACGUCAUUUCAUUUGGUUCCUAGGUCAAGAAUUCUGGUUGCUAUGGCAACAAAUUUAUUUUUAAAAAAUCACUGACAAUGGUGGAGUUUCACCGGUAGGGGACAAUAUUGCUUGGCAAUCUCUUGUUAUAAGAUAGUGUAGGAAGAUUAUUUUUUUAAAAGAACCUCUUUCAAACCCUGAAUCUUCUGACACAGACCAUGAUGUGCCAGUAAGACAACCACAUGCAAAACCUGGGCCGUCCACAACUGUAACCAUGUCGGGUCAUCCCAAGAGGCUUCAGAAACUCGGUGAAGACCAGAGUCAUCUUUUGAAGACGCUGUUCAAAACGAAUAUUGCGUUGAGGAAGGAGCUUAAGCGUGAAGACUGUGAAAGAGUAAUGCAAAAAUAUGAAAUUCUACACGGAUUGUCAUGGAAUUUUUUUUAAAAAACACGAUUCAUAACUGGAUUACUGCUGAAAAGUGAAAACAAAAAUGAUUUUAUAGCUUUUUAGCCCACCUGCGCACAAUGUUCUCAUGGUGAGCUUUUGUGAUCGCUUUUUGCCCGUUGUCCAUCUUGCGGCAUCAACAUUUGCCUUGUUAAUAUUCUAGAGGUCACAUUAAUUGUCCGAUCUUCAUGAAAUUUUAUUUGACGAUUUGUCCCAAUGAUAUCUUGGAAAAGAUUACAAAUGGUUUCGGUUGGUUGAAAAACAAUAAUUUACACGCCAUAUACUCCAUACUUAAAUCAAUUUUGUUAUAUGCAAAGCAGCAAUGCUUAAAAGAAAUAAUACAAAUUUGGGAGGAGGCAUUACUCGUAUGAAAACAAGAUGGUGGUAUUUGUUAUAAACACGUGUAAAACAGUUGGAUUUUUCUGGCCAAAGACAACUAUUCAUACGACCAACUUCUUAAUUUUUGCAUAGCUCGUCAUAUUGAUUUCCAUUCAGAUUUACUUCAGAAAAAAUCUAUUUCAUAUCUCUGAUGCCAGUGCUAUACAUAUGUUUAUAAGAAGAGUAAAUCUGAGAUCCGUUUUCAUUUAUGAUAUUUGAAAUGGCAUGUUUAGACGAAGAUUCUCUACAAUUUUCUACAUAAAUAUAUAUAUAUAUUUUUUGUAAAAAUGGUUUCGGUUGGUUGAAAAACAGUAAUUUACACGCCAUAUACUCCAUACUUAAAUCAAUAUUGUUAUAUGCAAAGCAGCAAUGCUUAAAAGAAAUAAUACAAAAUUGGGAGGGGGCAUUACUCGUAUGAAAACAAGAUGGUGGUAUUUGUUAUAAACACGUGUAAAACGGUUGGAUUUUUUCUGGCUGAAGAUAACUAUUCAUACGACCAAAUUCUUAAUUUUUGCAAAGCUCGUCAAAUUGAUUUCCAUUGUAGAAUUUACUUUAGUUCGGAGUUGCGAACCGAAUUGACCAUGUUUUUGUUAGCAAGUAACACUGUACAACAAGGUCUAUUUUUUCUCCACUCAAUAAACAUGUUUUACUUACUCUGCAAUAGUUUAUGAGUUACUAAAUUCCUUUGAAACAUUGGACCAUUUUCUUUAUUAACAGAUCAUACUUGCACAAUUGUUGUUAUGUUUUCUUUAUGGUUAAGGCAUUGUGACAUGUAUAUUAAUUUGAUUUUUAUGCCCCCCGAUAGAGGGCAUAUAGUGAUCGGACCGUCCGUCUGUCUGUCUGUCUUUCCGUCACACUUUGCGUUUAGGUUUCGCAUUUAGGUUUCAAAAAAUGCUCAUAACUUCUAUGUCCCUUCAGAUAGCAACUUGAUAUUUGGCAUGCAUGUGUAUCUCGUAGAGCUGCACAUUUUGAGUGGUAAAAGGUCAAGGUCAUCCUUCAAUGUCAAUGGUCAAAUAUAUCACUUCAAAGCGGCGCAGAAGGGGCAUUGUGUUUACGACAAACACAUCUCUUGUUUCCAGAUGAUAUUGUCUGAACUUGACAUUAGUUCUAUGUGUGAUGAUUAAAGCAUUGUGUCAUGUAUGAAGAUAUUUUGCUUAAAUGUUUUCAUGUUGUGGUAUUCACUUUUCUAUAUACUUUGUGUCAGAAGAAAUUAAGUCUUUGAUUUUUAUAAUAUACAAUUGUAAUUAGAUUUUUUCCUAAUGAUAUUCUGAACUUGACAUUUGUUCUAGGUGGGAGGGUUAAGGCAUUGUUUCAUGUAUGAAUAUAUUUUGCUUAAACGUUUUCAUGUUGUGGUAUUGACUCUUCUAUAUAAUUUGUGUCUGAAGAAAGUAAGUGUUUGAUUUUCAUAAUAUACAUCUAUAAUUUGAUUUUUUAUACGCCCGUUUUUCAAAACGGGACGUAUUAUAGUUUCACCCUUGGCGGGCGGGUGGACGCCGCCGGUGGGUGGAUGGGCGGUUUCCACAGCAGUUUCUGCUCUCUAUUUCAAAUAGUUUUUAUCUGAUCUUCACCAAACUUGGUCAGAAGUUGUAUCUAGACAAUAUCUAGGUUAAGUUUGAAUAUGGGUCAUGUCGAGUCAAAAACUAGGUCGCGGGGUCACUUAGUGCAUUUCAGGAUUAAGUAUGGUUUCCGCUCUCUAACUGAAGAAGUUUUCAUCCGAUCUUCACCAAAUUUGGUCAGAAAGUGUAUCUAGACAAUAUUUAGGUCAAGUUUGAAUAUGGUUUAUGCUGGGUCAAAUACUAGGUCACGGGAUAACCAAGUGCAUUUCAAGGAUUUAGCAUGGUGUCCGCUCUCUUAAUUGAAGUAGUUUUUUUUGUGUACAUGAUAUUUAGGUAAGUUCAAAUAUGGGUCAUGCCGGGUCAAAAACUAGGUCAUGAGGUCACUUAGUGCAUUUCAAGCAUUUAGCAUGGUGUCUGCUCUCUAAUUGAAGUAGUUUUGAUCCGAUCUUCACCAAAUUUGGUCAGAAGUUGUGUCUAGAUGAUGUCCAAAACCUUCAAAAGGGCGUAUCCUAUGACAGUUUGGCACUCUUGUUUCCAGAUGAUAUUGUCUGAACUUGACAUUGUUCGAAGUGUAAAUACAUUUUUAAACUACUUUUUGUCAUAAAAAUGUUUGGGAGUAUUUUUUAGAGGAAUAAACUGUUUUAAAUC